UGGUGGUCUAACACAUCUCUUGUUUAUAGAUCAACUGUGUUAUGAUGGAUAGACAAACAGACAGACAGACAGCAUGAAACCUUUGUGGAUUGGAUUUAAAUGGCAUGCGUUUCUCUGAGACAUUCAAAUGAAAUCAAGACAUGAUCCUUCUCAGUUACAUAUACAUGCAAAUUGGUCUAAAGGGAGCAUGACCCAAAGGCAGUUUUACAAAAGUAAAACAAAAAAAUCUCCUGUAAUGUGAAACCUGUAUUGUUGCGUCACAGUCCAAUGAUGUUUCUGUGUGAAUGAUAAGAGAUUCUGAAACAGUACAAGGAUUUAAUGAAUGGGUUGUGGUGAGGUGCCCUCUAUACAAUAAAUCCCAUCUUGCUACAGUAAUCCGAAAACUGAGUUUGUUCUGCUGUGUGGCUGUUCUCAGAGCUCUGAAG
ensembl:lincRNA